rnacentral:rRNA from 1 species
GACGAACGCUGGCGGCGCGCCUAACACAUGCAAGUCGAACGAGAGAUGAGGAGCUUGCUCUUCAAAUCGAGUGGCGAACGGGUGAGUAACGCGUGAGGAACCUGCCUCAAAGAGGGGGACAACAGUUGGAAACGACUGCUAAUACCGCAUAAGCCCACGGCUCGGCAUCGAGCAGAGGGAAAAGGAGCAAUCCGCUUUGAGAUGGCCUCGCGUCCGAUUAGCUAGUUGGUGAGGUAACGGCCCACCAAGGCGACGAUCGGUAGCCGGACUGAGAGGUUGAACGGCCACAUUGGGACUGAGACACGGCCCAGACUCCUACGGGAGGCAGCAGUGGGGAAUAUUGCACAAUGGGGGAAACCCUGAUGUAGCGACGCCGCGUGGAGGAAGAAGGUCUUCGGAUUGUAAACUCCUGUUGUUGAGGAAGAUAAUGACGGUACUCAACAAGGAAGCGACGGCUAACUACGUGCCAGCAGCCGCGGUAAAACGUAGGUCACAAGCGUUGUCCGGAAUUACUGGGUGUAAAGGGAGCGCAGGCGGGAGAACAAGUUGGAAGUGAAAUCCAUGGGCUCAACCCAUGAACUGCUUUCAAAACUGUUUUUCUUGAGUAGUGCAGAGGUAGGCGGAAUUCCCGGUGUAGCGGUGGAAUGCGUAGAUAUCGGGAGGAACACCAGUGGCGAAGGCGGCCUACUGGGCACCAACUGACGCUGAGGCUCGAAAGUGUGGGUAGCAAACAGGAUUAGAUACCCUGGUAGUCCACACCGUAAACGAUGAUUACUAGGUGUUGGAGGAUUGACCCCUUCAGUGCCGCAGUUAACACAAUAAGUAAUCCACCUGGGGAGUACGACCGCAAGGUUGAAACUCAAAGGAAUUGACGGGGGCCCGCACAAGCAGUGGAGUAUGUGGUUUAAUUCGACGCAACGCGAAGAACCUUACCAAGUCUUGACAUCCCUUGACGAACAUAGAAAUAUGUUUUCUCUUCGGAGCAAGGAGACAGGUGGUGCAUGGUUGUCGUCAGCUCGUGUCGUGAGAUGUUGGGUUAAGUCCCGCAACGAGCGCAACCCUUAUGGUCAGUUACUACGCAAGAGGACUCUGGCCAGACUGCCGUUGACAAAACGGAGGAAGGUGGGGAUGACGUCAAAUCAUCAUGCCCUUUAUGACUUGGGCUACACACGUACUACAAUGGCGUUAAACAAAGAGAAGCAAGACCGCGAGGUGGAGCAAAACUCAGAAACAACGUCCCAGUUCGGACUGCAGGCUGCAACUCGCCUGCACGAAGUCGGAAUUGCUAGUAAUCGUGGAUCAGCAUGCCACGGUGAAUACGUUCCCGGGCCU